ensembl:lncRNA
GCCAGGUGCCGAGGGGCUGGAGCAGCCUUGGGGAUGGGGCGACGUGGGGAGCGGGCGGGAGAGGCUUCGCGUUCAGGCCCUCAGCUGAGAGGGUCACGAGAACGACCUGGCCCCGCAGAACGUGCCCGCCUGCUGGUAGAGGGCGUCACUCGGCGACCCGCCAGAGAAGGGUGGGAGUUGUCCCGGAGAGGCGGUUCUCCUGCCACACCUGCGCCCAGGAUAUGAGCGCUUGCUCUUUAGCACAAUAAACAGAACUGAAGAUGUGCUCAGAGCCUCGCUGACUGCAGCUCGGAGUCAGGUGACUUGGCUGAAAUCCAUUUACUCUGCACUGUAAUCAAGGAUGCUGUGUUUUGUGCUCGAGCACGAGGCACAGAACCAGUGACGUGCUUUGGUUCUGAUUUGCAUCGCCUGACCAGUGUAUUAGCUCAACAUCAUGGAUGAUGUAAGCUGAUGAGGAUCAUUUCACUGCGCUACAACCUAUCUGAAGACAAAUAGAACAGUAGAGAAGCUUACACAGAAGAGAAGCUUACUGAAG